CCUCGUCUACGCCUCCAAAACGUCGAAGCCGCACGUGAGGAUCUCCAUAAUAGCAAAUUUCUCCCCCGAGCCUAGACAUCAGUUGUUCGGUGGCAGCCUAGCCUUUAGAGGAGGCACAGGGCUCGCGUUGCCGCUCGAGGUGCCACUACUAAGGGGAUUGCCGUGGCAGGGUCUGAACUUGGUAAGAUGGUGGGGGCCUGAGCAUCUUGCGGUCAAAGCGAGGGAGAGCUCUCCGACGGCCCAGUCAGGCCUUUCCGAGGUGUGAACAUCAAGAUGCAGUGUCAAUGGACCCUCGUCAUGGUUCUUGAUAGAAGGUGAGGCUCGUGCUCUUCCUUCCUCGAUUUUCGGUCCUUCCAGUUCCUGCGGUUUUCUCAUGGGAUUUUCCGUUUUUCGCCAUCGAUGGUGCUGGAGGAGAUUUCGCGUGCAGAUGACCGCCUCUGAGCUCUUGACGCUGAGCACCGUGGUCUGUUUGCGGCCAUAGACCUCGUGUGCAGUCAUCUCGGAGUUUUGUGGUUGAGGGAGAUGUCUGCCUAGACUUCCCGGAUGACGCCUAUCGCCGGCUACAUUCAUGAAUUGGAGGUUGUCGCGUUCCGGCUCGGGGUCCACCAUGCCCUGGUCACCGCUCGGCCUCUCGGUAAGGACUAAAUUGAGUAUGUUUUGGAUUGAGUAUGCUUUGGAUGUCAAAUGGUUCGUCAAGCCAAAUUUUAUCAACUUAACAGUAAAAUAAUUUUAUCAACUCAACAGUAAAAUAACUCUCUAAUACUAGCCGUCUAACUCGCUAAGCUAUUCGAUUCUCUAAAUUGGUUUUUUCACUAGCUAAACUUGAUUAACCACUCUAACUAGCCAAGCCAAAUUAGAUAGUUGGAGUGAGAUGUUAGAGCGUAAUCUUUAUAGAAAAAUAAAGUCAAAUGCGAGAGAAAAUUUAAAAGGCUUGGAGAUGCUGUGACUACGUGAUUUUGUCGGUAGCGAAGCACACGCACGGCAUUUUUGUUUACUCUCGUAUUUUAAGGGAAGUUUUUAUUCGAUUGUCUUUGUUUUGUUAUUGGGCUCUGUUCCAGUUGGGCCGCCUUUCAUUACCAGAUUCUGGCUGCCUUUCGCUCUUCUGCCUUCUUGCUUGGUUGCCCCAUCCGACACGCCUCCUCUUCCUCGUUGCCCCUCGGCCCUCAUCCCCUGCAUCUGCUCCCCCUCUAGGCCUCUACCGAACCCUAGCCGGCCAGCUGAGCUUAUUGAAGGCAAGCUAGGCGAGAGCAGCGUCCGCCGCCGCGCUCUCAUGGCGGCGCCCAAACCGAUCUGGGUGCGCCAGGCUGAGGAGGCAAAGCUCAAGUCCGAGGCGGAGACCGCUGCCGCCGCCAAGGCCGCCUUCGACGCCACCUUCAAGGCCCUCGCUGCCGCGUCUGGUGACGACUACAACGAUGUCGACCCCGCCCCACCCUCCCCAGCCGAGCUCACCUCCACCGACUCGGACGACGAUGCUCCGGCCCUGCCAGGCCCGGUCGACCCGUCCAAGUGCUCCGCCGCGGGGCCUGGCAUCGCUGGCGGCUCUGCCGGAACGCCCUCCACUUUCACCGUCGUCGCCAAGGAUCGCCACAGCCGGAGGCUCACCGCCGGUGGGGCGCGCGUGCACGUGCGUGUCUCGCCCGCUGCGGGAGUCGGCGGGGACGAUCUCGAAGGCACUGUCAAGGACAACGGGGACGGAUCCUACACGGUCACCUACGUCGUCCCCAAGCGCGGCAACUACAUGGUACACGUUGAGCUUGACGGCGUCUCCGUCAUGGGGAGCCCCUUCCCCGUCUUCUUCAGCGGUUCCACCGCCACACCAUCAGCCGCUUUCCCCACCGCGCUACCUGCUGUCAGCUCUGCCUACCCCAACAUGGUUAACCAGACCAUGCCUAAUAUGCCCAAUUACACAGGCGCGCCCUCCAGUGCCUUCCCCAGCCUCCUCGGGGCCAUGCCUAGUUCCACCGCUGGGUCCUCGGGCGGAGUCAUCCUGCCAGGGGUUGGUGCUUCACUGGGGGAGAUAUGCCGGGACUACAUGAACGGGAGGUGCACAAAGGUGGAGACUGACUGUAAGUUCACCCAUCCACCGCAACAGCUGCUGAUGUCGUUGCUUGCUGCCACGACUUCUGUCAGUGCUCUCGGGCAUGCGCCCUUGGCGCCCUCUGCGGCUGCCAUGGCAGCUGCUCAGGCCAUCAUGGCUGCCCAGGCACUGCAGGCACAUGCUGCACAGGCCAAAGCUGCAGGUGGAACUUCAGGCUCAACAAACAAAGCUGAUGAAGCUGAUGCCCUGAAGAGAACAGUUCAAAUUAGCAACCUGAGUCCACUUCUUACUGUGGAUUAUAUUAAACAGCUAUUUGGAUUUUGUGGUAAAGUUGUUGAUUGUGUCAUGACAGAUACAAAGCAGAUUGUGUAUGUUGAGUACUCCAAACCUGAAGAAGCAACUGCAGCAUUGGAGCUCAAUAGCAAGAGUGUUGGUGGUCGUCCAUUGAAUGUGGAGAUGGCUAAAGCUCUUCCUCCUAAAGCAAAUAAUAACUUGCCUAUGAUGAUGCAGCAAGCCGUUCAGUUGCAACAGAUACAAUUCCAGCAGGCACUAAUGAUGCAACAGUCAAUAGCAGCCCAACAGGCUGCUGCACGUGCUGCCACCAUGAAAUCUGCCACUGAAGCAGCUGCAGCAAGGGCUGCUGAGAUAAGCAGGAAGUUGAAGGCAGAGGGCUUUGGUGGGGACAACAUGGAAGAAAAGGAUGCCAAAGGGAAGUCAGGAUCACCAUCUUCCCCUACUCGUAGAUCAAAAUCUCGGUCAAGAUCACCUAUCAAGUACCGUAGGAGCAGACGAUCCCGCUCCUACUCUCCCCCAGUUGGACGCUCAAGGGAGCAUCGAUCACGAUCACCAUCAAGAUCUCGCCACUCAAAGCAUGGUAGUGAUCGAUCACAUAGGGAUGAUAAGGAUAUGUAUAGCAGGUCCGGGAGAAGGGAGAGUGAACGAUCCCGUGAUCAUCAUUCAUCUCGUUCAAGGAGGAACAGAAGCAAAAGUAGAAGUCCAAGGCAUAAGAAGCCCUCCAGAGUUGACUCUAGGUCACCCAAGAAACAAAGACUCGAAAGUUUAAGCCCAUCAAAAUCAAGGUCGGCUCGGGCUGGUUCAAGGUCACCACGACAUCAUAAGGGAAGCAAAUCAUCGCCAACUAGUGAUCGUCAUUCUCGCCAUAGCAGGCAUUCAAGGUCCAGAUCUCUUGACAGAAAGCAUCAUCACAGUGAUAAAAAGGACAGCAGAAAGUCUGAGAUUCAGGACGACAGAAGAUCUCAUAGAGGCAGCAGACGCGACAAAGAUGAAAGUUCAGUGAAGGAUGAUGGGGAAAGAUCUCAUAGAGGUAGUAGACGCGACAAAGAUGAAAGUUCAGUGAAGGAUGAUGGGGAAAGAUCUCAUAGAGGUAGCAGACGCAACAAAGAUGAAAGUUCAGUGAAGGAUGAUGGGGAAAGAUCUCAUAGAGGUAGCAGACGCGACAAAGAUGAAAGUUCAGUGAAGGAUGAUGGGGAAAGAUCUCAUAGAGGUAGCAGACGCGGCAAAGAUGAAAGUUCAGUGAAGGAUGAUGGGGAAAGAUCUCAUAGAGGUAGCAGACUCGACAAAGAUGAAAGUUCAGUGAAGGAUGAUGGGGAAAGAUCUCAUAGAGGUAGCAGACGCGACAAAGAUGAAAGUUCAGUGAAGGAUGAUGGGGAAAGAUCUCAUAGAGGUAGCAGACGCGACAAAGAUGAAAAUUCAGUGAAGGAUGAUGGGGAACGAUCUCAUAGAAGCAGUAGAGGUGACAACGAUGGAAGGUCUGUAAAAGAUCCAGUGGAAGAUAAAAGGGUGGAUAGUAAUGCUGUCGCACAUAAGAGGAGCUCUGAAGAUGAAAUCCUGAACAACAAUAGUAGUAACCAUAAGAAACAUAGACAUGAAGUUGGUUUGGAAGUUGAUGAAGGAAAUGAUGUGUGCCCUGCUGUAGCAGACCCUAAUGGGAAACAUGAAACUGGAGUAGGUGGAUCUUUAGGGGGCGCUGCAGAAUCUGCUAUAUGAUAGCUGCUGUAUCAUUCAGUUGGCUGUUUGCAGAUUGAUUGAUGAUGAUGGAGAAUGCUGAACUGGUGUUUAUUAUCUCCCUUUCUGAUUUAGGAGUUUUAUUUGCAGGGCAUGAAGAUCUUCGGAGAACUCGAGUGCUGUUCGGAGCGCUCAUCUGAUAUAUUAAAAUGCUUAUGAUUCCAUGAAGAGUUGUUGGAGCACAUUUCUGGGAUGUCGGUUGAAGAUACAAGGAAGUACACACUCAAGUAAAGUCCAUAUACAAGACUAUAAACAACUCAUAUUCUAGGCUCUUGCAUUUGAACUGGAAUGCUUUGGCUAGUAAAAUUGUCCAAAUAUGCUUGUCCGCCUUCUGACGCACUUUGUUUGUUAGAAGUCCUGUUUUUGUAUCUUGUAUCAGGAAUGGUUCAAAAAGUUUGACCUGAUAUACCAUACUUGUACACUGUCUUUUGACAGUCACAUGGAAUUGUGAAUUGUGAUGUAAGUUUUAUAUAUCUUGUCUUCUGCUUAAUUUUGACCGGUCUACCUGAAGUUGCUAUGAGUAUAUCGGUUAUGGCAUUCAUUAUUGUUUAUUUUGUUCUAGUUUUUUACCCCCUUAUGGGUGACAGGGUUCUGCCUAUAAAACAGAGGCAAUCGAUCCGUUAUUUGA